AAGGAGAGGAGGCAAGCGCAGCCCAAACUGGGGGGUUUCUCUUCAAAGCCAGCUGGUCUGGCUUUGUUCUACAGGAAUUUUUUACCUGUCAGAGUUUGGACAACAAAGCCCUCAGCAGGUGCUGACGGGAACAACUUCCUGGAGAAGCAGAAAGGCACUGGUGCCAAAAAAGCCUUGGAAACUGUGAAGUAACCUCUGGAGAGAUGAAGUGAAUCAUGGAAGGCCAAUGGCUGCAGCAGUAAAGUGUAGAAGGAACGAAUGCGGGGAACUGGGAACUGAGCUGUGCACGUGCUGAAGAAGGAAACUCGUUUGAAGGAAACAGGAAAGAGAAAG
rnacentral:lncRNA from 1 species